UACGGAGGGUGCGAGCGUUGUUCGGAAUUAUUGGGCGUAAAGGGUGCGUAGGCGGUUUGGUAAGUCUGAUGUGAAAUCUAUGGGCUCAACUCAUAGUCUGCAUCGGAAACUGCCGGGCUUGAGUGUGGGAGAGGUGAGUGGAAUUCCUGGUGUAGCGGUGAAAUGCGUAGAUAUCAGGAGGAACACCUGUGGCGAAAGCGGCUCACUGGACCAUAACUGACGCUGAUGCACGAAAGCUAGGGGAGCAAACAGG
rnacentral:rRNA from 1 species